UUCAGUUAUAAAACUACUCUGGAGCUCAUAAAAUGAAGCAUUAUAAUCAACAUUAUUGUCAUCCGAGAUAUAUAAUCUUAUUUUUACCAUUGUAAUGAAAAAGCAAACACAAACAUGCCAAUACACUUGCCCUAAUUGACCUUUCCCUUGAAAAUCGAUAAAGCGAAGGUUUGUUUUGUCAACAUGAUCCCAUGGUAAUGCUUCUGUUUUUCUAAUGUUGUCUCGUGCUCAUCAACCCAAAAUGCAUACAUGUAAUACCAAUAUUGAAAUAUAAAUAUAAAAACAUAUCCACAUUUUGGUACUUAUGGGUGGGAGAGGGGGGAACUUAUCAAGAACCUCAUCAACCCAAAAAGGCAAUAGGCAAUAUGUAUUGCCUGACCAAACAUAGCCCUUAAACCAACCACCACUUGGAUAUUGAAAGAAUGAGGAUGUAUCACAUGUACUUCCGCCAAAGAUAUCAACCAAUGAGGUUAUACACAUAUCCUCAGUGAUUGAUAUAAUCUUGCAUCCAGUUCAUGUUAAGUUAUGGGCAUAGAAAACUCUAUAGUCCAUACAGCAUAUUUGCAGGCCAAUCUCAAAAUACACCACUAGCAAGGCUUUCCCUUAAGGAAUAGUAUUCCCAAUACUCAAAAC
rnacentral:lncRNA from 1 species